UAUCAAAACUACCCUGCAGUUGAAGUGCAGGGCUGGGGCUCCUCCAAACCACUCUCCUCCUCAUCCUCCUGCAGCAGCUCUUCAUCAAGGAGGUCAGCCUCCAUGGUGUACAUGCCCUCGAUCUCUUCCUCAGUCAGGGCCCUCCUCCUCUUCAGUGACUGAACCACAUGCUAGAGCUGAUUGUCUCCAUCCAUUUUCUGGCUUACACACACCCACAUAAAACAUUAAAAUAAAUACCAAUUAAUAAUAAUAAUAAUAAUAAUAAUAAUAAUAUUAAUACUAAUAUUAAAAUUCUGCUCCAUCCUUUUUCACACACAUAAAAAAGUAAACAAGUAAUAAAAUACAUGGCUAAAUAAUAAUAGUGACAACAGCUAAAUAAUGUUUUCUGUUCUUUACACACAGUAAACGAGUAAUAAAAUACAUGGCUAAAUAAUAACUCCAGCUAAAUGUCUUUGUUUUUUACAUAGGCUACAUACACAACGUAAAAAUAAAAACUAAACAAGGUGUUUUCCUCAUUCUUUUACACAUCGAAUAAAAAAAGUUAAAAAAUAAUAGAUGCAUAAUUAAAUAAUAAUAACGACUACAGAGAAAUAACGAAUCGACUAGAAAAAGUAAAACACAGACGUACACAAACGCCUAACUUUGCAUCACAUGCGAUAGACCUGUUAGUUUUGCCUUCUCUCCUGAGGAAAAACAAGUCUAAAAUAAAAACGUAUGUGAAACUAACUAUAAGAAAGAUGUUUAAAAAAACAAACAAACAAACAAAACGAAACGUGGUGUUGGUACAGUAGCUCCUCUCGUCUACAGCGGUCAUGAAGUUAGCCCUGCCCAGCAAGCAAGCGAGCACACGAGAGACACAGAGAAAACAAAACAAAAAUAAACACUGCAGAUGUACUCGGCACAAAAAAACAAUAUCAAGUUGAAAAAAAAACCAACAACAAUAUGGUUAAUUAGCCCAAGUACCUCCCGUUUAGAUGAUAUGUAGAUUAGCACUCUUGGGAUUGUAAAACUGGAGAUACAGAGCUUCGACUCUGCUGUGCACUCAGUCACAAUGGCGCCAGCAGAGACUCGCCCUUGUAAUCAAAAUAUUAUAUGUCCCGCCCACCCUAGCCCUAAACCAAUGGUAUCAUGACAAGCCCCGUAGUCAUGGCUAUGACUCAUACUUUAAAAAAACAAAAUUGCUGAUUGGACGGCAGAGAUAUGACGUGUUUUGUCAUCGUAACAAAAGUUAUGAAAUUACACCGAGUCAGCAGCUAAGAGUUAAUCUACCUGGUCUUGAAUCUCUCCUGUUUCUCCCCCUCCCUCUCUCUCUCUCUCUCAGAUGAGCACAGACUGUCACACGACUCCAUCGCUCCCGAUUCCAAGCUGAACUCGUUGUGACGCCCCCAACAGAGAAAGUGUCACCCGAGCAAGAACAGCACUCCGUGUCACCCCUCCUCUCAGACCUCACCCCUCACCCUCGUCACACCCCUCCUCUCACCCCUCGCCUCACCCCUCCUGUCACCCCUCGCCCUUCCUCUCACCCCUCGUCUCGCCCCUCCUCUCACACCUCCUCUCACGCCUCGCCUCACCCCGGGUCAGUGUGGCACAGCCUGUCUGCUCUUCUGAACAAACACUUCAGCCCUGCCGACGCAGUGAGAGUCUGGAGCAGCAACACAAGGAUUACGAGCGGAGGCUGUGCUUGUUGAGCCUGGAUGAUAUGGAGCGGCUGGCGACCCGCAUGCUUCACCCUGAGGCUGGGGAGUGCAUGGAGCUGUCCUUCCUGGACUGAGGAAUACUGCUGCUGCCCUCUCCACCUCUCCCCUCUCCACCCUCUUCUCCUCCCCCUCUCCCCUCUCUCUCCUCUCCUCUUUACUCUCUGCUCCCCCUCUCCUCUCCUUACUUUGUUUAAAAGAAUAGAAGCACACCCAGUGAGCAAGGCAUUGAGCAGCCCCACAUCCCGCUUCACAAUACCGCUACAUAUUGACUGACUGUUCGCAUCGUGUGUGUUUGGUAAGACAAACCACAUUUUCUCCUUUCUGCUAUUUUAAAAGGAGCCCAGUUUGGUGCAGGAGGCUUGUGGGUAACAGAGUGUGUUUUUGCUGGGGACUGCAGCCCUUCCAUUACCAUUGCUCGUAGAGGGGAGAUUGUUUUACUUUCAAGCCUUUUUCUUUAAUAAAUCCGGACGUUUGGAAAUACA